UACGAAGGGGGCGAGCGUUGUUCGGAAUUACUGGGCGUAAAGGGCGCGUAGGCGGCCCCUUUUGUCGCGUGUGAAAGCCCCGGGCUCAACCUGGGAGGUGCGCGCGAAACGGGGGGGGCUUGAGUUCGGGAGAGGAGCGUGGAAUUCCCAGUGUAGAGGUGAAAUUCGUAGAUAUUGGGAAGAACACCGGUGGCGAAGGCGGCGCUCUGGACCGA
rnacentral:rRNA from 1 species